rnacentral:rRNA from 1 species
CGUUAGCGGCGGACGGGUGAGUAACACGUGGGUAACCUACCUAUAAGACUGGAAUAACUCCGGGAAACCGGGGCUAAUGCCGGAUAACAUGUUGAACCGCAUGGUUCUACAGUGAAAGACGGUCUUGCUGUCACUUAUAGAUGGACCCGCGCCGUAUUAGCUAGUUGGUGGGGUAACGGCCUACCAAGGCGACGAUACGUAGCCGACCUGAGAGGGUGAUCGGCCACACUGGAACUGAGACACGGUCCAGACUCCUACGGGAGGCAGCAGUAGGGAAUCUUCCGCAAUGGGCGAAAGCCUGACGGAGCAACGCCGCGUGAGUGAUGAAGGUCUUCGGAUCGUAAAGCUCUGUUGUUAGGGAAGAACAAAUGUGUAAGUAACUGUGCACAUCUUGACGGUACCUAACCAGAAAGCCACGGCUAACUACGUGCCAGCAGCCGCGGUAAUACGUACGUGGCAAGCGUUAUCCGGAAUUAUUGGGCGUAAAGCGCGCGUAGGCGGUUUUUUAAGUCUGAUGUGAAAGCCCACGGCUCAACCGUGGAGGGUCAUUGGAAACUGGAAAACUUGAGUGCAUAAAAGGAGAGUGGAAUUCCAUGUGUAGCGGUGAAAUGCGCAGAGAUAUGGAGGAACACCAGUGGCGAAGGCGGCUUUCUGGUCUGCAACUGACGCUGAUGUGCGAAAGCGUGGGGAUCAAACAGGAUUAGAUACCCUGGUAGUCCACGCCGUAAACGAUGAGUGCUAAGUGUUAGGGGGUUUCCGCCCCUUAGUGCUGCAGCUAACGCAUUAAGCACUCCGCCUGGGGAGUACGGUCGCAAGACUGAAACUCAAAGGAAUUGACGGGGACCCGCAC